rnacentral:rRNA from 1 species
GACGAACGCUGACGGCGUGCUUUAGACAUGCAAGUCGAACGAGAAAGCCCUUCGGGGUUAGUAAAGUGGCGAACGGGUGAGUAACACGUGGGCAAUCUGCCCUUCGUUGGGGGACAACCGGGGGAAACCCCGGCUAAUACCCCGUAAGCUUGUCGGGUCGCAUGGCCUGACAAGGAGAGGUAGCUUCGGCCAUCCGGCGAAGGAGGAGCCCGCGGUACAUUAGCUAGUUGGUGAGGUAAAGGCCCACCAAGGCGACGAUGUAUAGCUGGUCUGAGAGGAGGAUCAGCCACACUGGGACUGAGACACGGCCCAGACUCCUACGGGAGGCAGCAGUCGGGAAUCUUGCACAAUGGGCGAAAGCCUGAUGCAGCAACGCCGUGUGAGCGACGAAGGCCCUAGGGUCGUAAAGCUCUGUUGUUAGGGACGAAGGGCGAAGGGUUAAUAGCCCUUAGCCUGACGGUACCUUUCGAGGAAGCCCCGGCUAACUACGUGCCAGCCGCCGCCGUAAGAC